rnacentral:misc_RNA from 1 species
GUAGGUGAACCUGCGGAAGGAUCAUUAUUUAAUAAUAGUAUAUAACAUGGGGUGUUAGAUAGGCUUUACGGCUUGUCCCUUCGUGUUUAUAUAUAUAUUUAUGUGCAUUUGUACUAUCCAAUUUUUACAAACCUUCUGGUAUAUUAUGAGCUCAAUGAGCCCAAAUUAUUUUUAAUCUAAAAUAACUUUUAACAACGGAUCUCUUGGCUCUC